rnacentral:misc_RNA from 1 species
CAAAACUAACAUUAGGAACGGAAAAGAGGCAAAAACCCUAAGGAUAUGAAGCCAUCAAGUACAUGUUGAUUUGUCGAUUUGUCUUCAGUGAGACGCCAUUCACCAGCACAGCAAAAUCAGAUUUCGUCUCUCACUGCGCCUACUGUCUUCUCUUCUAAUUGCUGAUGGAUGAAUCCCAAGCCGCCGAUGCUCCUAAUCAAGCGUCUUCCCAACUCUCAAAUACAGCUCCACCUCAACCUCAACCUCAACCUCCAGUUCCUAGCCCGUCUUCGAUUCGGCCUCCGACUCCGACUACAGCUACCUCCACUUCUUCUACCUCUAACCGCAUUGCUGAACACUUGAUGCAUAAGAAUCGAUUACAGGAGUACACACAAAGAGCAUCCUUGCCAUUGCCAAUAUAUCAUACUGCUAAUGAAGGGUAUCAACAUGCACCAAAGUUUAGGUCAACUGUGUUGGUGGAUGGAGUACAGUAUACUUCUCCAAACACUUUUUUGCAUCGGAAGGAAGCAGAACAAGAUGUUGCAAGACUUGCAUUUUCAUGCAUAGUCAAGAAGAUAAAGGAUGAAGGAUGCCCCCUCAUUCGUGAGGACACAGUGUUUUGCAAGUCCAUCUUAAAUGAAUUUGCGAGUAAGAUGCAACUGCAAAAGCCUACAUACAACACUAUACAGCCACAAGGGUUGCUUCCAAUUUUUGUAUCUUCUUUGGUUUUCAAUGGCGUAACUUAUACUGGUGAGACUGGUAGAACCAAGAAGGAAGCUGAACAAUUGGCAGCACGUGCUGUGAUUCUCUCUCUUAUGGGGAAUUCUGGGACGGGGACAAUUAUUUCUGAAAUAGUAAAGUCUAAAGUCAAAUUAUAUGCUGCAUUGAAUAAACUCAAGAACUCACAACAUGCCCAAGGUGACACUGUACCUGUCUCGAGUGAGGAGAAAGAAGCUGAAGUUGUUACAGUUAGUAAUAAUGCAGCAAGUGUAACUUCACAAGCAGCUUCAGGGAUGAUUCGUCCCCACCAUGGAUUCAUCAUGCCAAAACCAGAGCCGGCACGUGAACCAAUUGAACUCCCAAUUACAUUUGUGCAUCCAGUUUCAGAACAAGCUUUGGAUUCUGGUUCUACUUCAGGAAAAAAACGGAAAAAGAACAAGAAAAAAGCCAACAAGAAAGUUCGAACUGAAUCCCAGUCACCUAUUGCUACAAUGCCUUUGAAUCAAGCCUCACCUUAUCCGGUAGCUUAAUGAAAACCAACUUUUGUUGUUUAUUUUGUUGGCUGUAGCUGAAACUUCUCUCCUUGUGUAUACAUAUUUACUAUGUGCUAAAAUUGACAUAGAAUGUGAUGUGAAGGAUGGAAACCGUGGUAAUGACUGGACAGAAAUGAAAUUGUGACCAUCUAGUUAGUUUUCGUUGUUUUUAAUGUAUGUUUUAUGCAUCAAAAUUACUAUUUCCUUUUUCUUAUCAUUAUUAUUAUCUUUUUAUUAUGUUGUUACUCUGUCUUGUUAUUUUUACUUUCAGGUAGAAUUAGCUAUUUCAUUUAAUUGUUAUGGUUGUCAAAUUCAGAUUAACUCGAUUGAUUUAAUUAAAUUAAAUUAAGAAUUGAUAUCUUCAUUGUU